rnacentral:rRNA from 1 species
UACGUAGGGGGCAAGCGUUGUCCGGAAUCAUUGGGCGUAAAGAGCGUGUAGGCGGCCCGAUAAGUCCGUCGUGAAAGUCCAGGGCUCAACCCUGGGAUGCCGGUGGAAACUGUCGGGCUAGAGUCCGGAAGAGGCGAGUGGAAUUCCUGGUGUAGCGGUGAAAUGCGCAGAUAUCGGGAGGAACACCAGUGGCGAAGGCGACUUCCUGGCCUGUUCUUGACGCUGAGGCGCGAAAGCUAGGGGAGCAAACGGG